rnacentral:rRNA from 1 species
CAGAGGGUGCAAGCGUUAAUCGGAUUUACUGGGCGUAAAGCGUGUGUAGGUGGCUAUCUAAGUCGGUUGUGAAAGCCCUGGGCUCAACCUGGGAAUUGCAGUCGAUACUGGAAAGCUCGAGUUCGGUAGAGGGUGACGGAAUUCCCGGUGUAGCGGUGAAAUGCGUAGAUAUCGGGAGGAACAUCGAUGGCGAAGGCAAUCACCUGGGCCUGAACUGACACUGUGACACGAAAGCGUGGGUAGCAAACAGGAUUAGAUACCCUGGUAGUCCACGCCGUAAACGAUGGGAACCUGACGUCGGUUUGCUCUGCGAAUCGGUGUCGUAGCUAACGCGCUAAGUUCCCCGCCUGGGGAGUACGGCCGCAAGGUUG